rnacentral:rRNA from 1 species
GAGUCUGCAACUCGACUCCGUGAAGUCGGAAUCGCUAGUAAUCGUGGAUCAGAAUGCCACGGUGAAUACGUUCCCGGGCCUUGUACACACCGCCCGUCACACCAUGGGAGUGGGCUGCACCAGAAGUAGAUAGCUUAACCUUCGGGAGGGCGUUUACCACGGUGUGGUUCAUGACUGGGGUGAAGUCGUAACAAGGUAGCCCUAGGGGAACCUGGGGCUGGAUCUCCUCCUUACAAAAAAGA